rnacentral:rRNA from 1 species
GACAGAGGAUGCAAGCGUUAUCCGGAAUGAUUGGGCGUAAAGCGUCUGUAGGUGGCUUUUUAAGUCCGCCGUCAAAUCCCAGGGCUCAACCCUGGACAGGCGGUGGAAACUACCAAGCUGGAGUACGGUAGGGGCAGAGGGAAUUUCCGGUGGAGCGGUGAAAUGCGUAGAUAUCGUCAGGAAUGCCGGUGGUGAAGACGGGUGACUGGGCUGGUUCUGACACUGAGGCACGAAAGCGUGGGGAGCGAACGGG